rnacentral:rRNA from 1 species
AAGCACCGGCUAACUACGUGCCAGCAGCCGCGGUAAUACGUAGGGUGCGAGCGUUGUCCGGAAUUACUGGGCGUAAAGGGCUCGUAGGUGGUUUGUCGCGUCGUCUGUGAAAUUCCGGGGCUUAACUCCGGGCGUGCAGGCGAUACGGGCAUAACUUGAGUACUGUAGGGGUAACUGGAAUUCCUGGUGUAGCGGUGAAAUGCGCAGAUAUCAGGAGGAACACCGAUGGCGAAGGCAGGUUACUGGGCAGUUACUGACGCUGAGGAGCGAAAGCAUGGGUAGCGAACAGGAUUAGAUACCCUGGUAGUCCAUGCCGUAAACGGUGGGCGCUAGGUGUGAGGGUCUUUUCACGACUUUCGUGCCGUAGCUAACGCAUUAAGCGCCCCGCCUGGGGAGUACGGCCGCAAGGCUAAAACUCAAAGGAAUUGACGGGGGCCCGCACAAGCGGCGGAGCAUGUGGAUUAAUUCGAUGCAACGCGAAGAACCUUACCUGGGCUUGACAUACACUGGAUCGGGCUAGAGAUAGUCUUUCCCUUUGUGGCUGGUGUACAGGUGGUGCAUGGUUGUCGUCAGCUCGUGUCGUGAGAUGUUGGGUUAAGUCCCGCAACGAGCGCAACCCUUGUCUUAUGUUGCCAGCAUUUGGUUGGGGACUCAUGAGAGACUGCCGGGGUCAACUCGGAGGAAGGUGGGGAUGACGUCAAAUCAUCAUGCCCCUUAUGUCCAGGGCUUCACACAUGCUACAAUGGUCGGUACAACGCGCAGCGACACUGUGAGGUGGAGCGAAUCGCUGAAAGCCGGCCUUAGUUCGGAUUGGGGUCUGCAACUCGACCCCAUGAAGUCGGAGUCGCUAGUAAUCGCAGAUCAGCAAUGCUGCGGUGAAUACGUUCCCGGGCCUUGUACACACCGCCCGUCACGUCAUGAAAGUUGGUAACACCCGAAGCCGGUGGCCCAAACUUGUUAGGGAGCCGUCGAAGGUGGGAUCGGCGAUUGGGACGAAGUCGUAACAAGGUACCCGUACCGGAAGGUGCGGGUG